GUCUUCUACUAUCAUGUCUUGUUCUGUGUCAGUGGGAUUUCCAGUGACACUAGAACAAUAGAAAAGUCACUCUUCUUAUGAAAGAGAUAGAAAAGGUCUAAAAACAGGAGAGACAAUUUACGCAUAAAAACCGAUAUGCAUAGGGAUGAAUAUCUCUUAAAACACAAAACCAUUAUCUAACUUUUAUACAACCACUAUAAAUAAAGUAUAUGUUAAAG
rnacentral:lncRNA from 1 species